rnacentral:rRNA from 1 species
AUGAACGCUGGCGGCGUGCCUCAUACAUGCAAGUCGCGCGAACAGACGAGGAGCUUGCUCCUCUGACGUUAGCGGCGGACGGGUGAGUAACACGUGGAUAACCUACCUAUAAGACUGGGAUAACUUCGGGAAACCGGAGCUAAUACCGGAUAAUAUAUUGAACCGCAUGGUUCAAUAGUGAAAGACGGUUUUGCUGUCACUUAUAGAUGGAUCCGCGCCGCAUUAGCUAGUUGGUAAGGUAACGGCUUACCAAGGCAACGAUGCGUAGCCGACCUGAGAGGGUGCUCGGCCACACUGGAACUGAGACACGGUCCAGACUCCUACGGGAGGCAGCAGUAGGGAAUCUUCCGCAAUGGGCGAAAGCCUGACGGAGCAACGCCGCGUGAGUGAUGAAGGUCUUCGGAUCGUAAAACUCUGUUAUUAGGGAAGAACAAAUGUGUAAGUAACUAUGCACGUCUUGACGGUACCUAAUCAGAAAGCCACGGCUAACUACGU